AAGAUUUGGAAUUAGUCAUUGGUUUCAAUCGUAAAUGACUGUGCACCUUAGACAAGUUAUUUGACUUGUCUGAGCCUUGGUUUCUUCAUCCGGAAAUCAACAUCUGGUAGAAAAGGAUAAAAGUAGAAUACAAGUCAGAUAUCUUGAAGACACUAAGGAAACUCUGAAAGACAGAAGACAGUAGGCCAAUAUAUUCAUAGUGCUAAAAAUAAAAAAUAAAAACCCUUGUCAACCAAGAAUCCUAUAUCCAGAAAAGCUGUCCUUCAA